UACGUAGGCAGCGAGCGUUGUUCGGAGUUACUGGGCGUAAAGGGUGUGUAGGCGGUUGUUUUAAGUUUGGUGUGAAAUCUCCCGGCUCAACUGGGAGGGUGCGCCGAAUACUGAAUGACUUGGAGUGCGGGAGAGGAGAGUGGAAUUCCUGGUGUAGCGGUGAAAUGCGUAGAUAUCAGGAGGAACACCGGUGGUGUAGACGGCUCUCUGGACCGUAACUGACGCUGAGACACGAAAGCGUGGGUAGCAAAAGGG
rnacentral:rRNA from 1 species